GGGGAUAUAGAUCAGUAGAGCAGUCGACUGCAGAUCGAGAGGUCCCUGGUUCAAAUCCGGGUGUCCCCU
rnacentral:tRNA from 1 species